rnacentral:rRNA from 1 species
GCAGCAGUCCGGCGAGGAUCCCUCAAAAAAAAAAAGCAGUCCGGCGAGGAGAGAGAGAGAGGGCGAGAUGGGGUCGGUGGUGCUGCCGACGCUGCGGCGGAAGCGGGAGGUCGACACCGCCAUCCGCGACACCCUCGACAAGGUCCUUGUCCUCCGAUUCGGCCGCGCCUCCGACGCCGCCUGCCUCCAGCUCGACGACGUCCUGGCAAAAUCUUCUUGGGACAUAUCCAAAUUUGCAACGGUAGCAUUAGUUGACAUGGAUUCUGAGGAGAUUCAGGUGUAUGUUGACUAUUUUGAUAUCACGUUGGUCCCAGCAAUCAUUUUUUUCUUCAACGCUCAUCACAUGAAAAUGGAUUCAGGGACACCUGAUCAUACAAAAUGGAUAGGCUCUUUCAGCAGCAAGCAAGACUUCAUUGAUGUAGUCGAGGCAGUGUUCAGGGGCGCGAUGAAAGGCAAACUGAUAGUGUCUUGCCCACUUCCACCAGAGAGGAUACCCAGAUUCCAGCUUCUUUUCAAGGAUGUGUAAUCACAAGAAGCACACAUUCUCAACAUAUGUAAUGGUCUUUUAGAUAAUGGAAGAGUUUCAUCCCCCCAUCCUCUGCAUACUUAUCCACGCAGCCAGACCUAAAGAAUAAACUGUUCAUGGGGGUGCUUGUUGAUGAACAAUCAAGAGUUGGCGUUUGCACUGGUUUGCAUCAACUAUGUUUCUCUAUGUUAUUUUUAUAGCAUAAUAAUACAGCAAUUGGUGUUUUGCCCUCUCUAGUCUGUUAGUUUGGUACAAGCCUGAUUAUAUUUUGUUUGUGAAGUGAUACUAUCAAUUAUCACAAUUGACAUGUGCAUGGCAUUCUCCCUAGUCUGUACAGUUCUGUAUUUCACAAACUAGAAUGGUCUCAACUGGGUGCUUAUUUGACUGUUAAUUUGGUACAAGCCUGGUUAUAUUUAAGGCUAGUUGGUGUUUGUGAAGUGAUACAAUCAGUUAU